rnacentral:lncRNA from 1 species
AGCAGAGACGGAGGCCACUGGGCACAGGAGAGAUUUGGGAUGGAGAGCUGGUGAGCCUUUCUCUGUUCUCCACAUCUGAAAGUCUGGCUUUAGGCACAAUAUUUAUGAACUUUAGCAAUAUGCACAAAUCAAAUGAGCUGAAAAAUCAGACCAGGCAGAUAAAAGUAAAAUCAUCUUACUGAAAUUCCUGGAAACAACAGUUUCAGCCAUUUGACAUGUAAGUAUAUAUCCUUUGGUCAUCGAAGUAUGAAACAUAUAAAGAAAACUUUAAAAGAAAAAUAAAAUACAUAAAAUGAAGAUAAUGGAAAUCAUCAAAUUAA